AUCUGUGUUAGUGAGCACUUCUCCUUUGCCGAGAUAACAUUUUGCACAUUUUAGAGUGGCCUUUUAUUGUGUCCAGCCUAAGGCACACCUGUGCAAUAAUCAUGCUGUCUAAUCAGCAUCUUGAUAUGCCACACCUGUGAGGUGGAUGGAUUAUCUCGGCAAAGGAGAAGUGCUCACUAGCACAGAU